CAGUGCCGCGGGAAAACGAAGGGGGCUAGCGUUGUUCGGAUUUACUGGGCGUAAAGGGCGCGUAGGCGGAUUUGUAAGUCAGGGGUGAAAUCCCGAGGCUCAACCUCGGAACUGCCUUUGAUACUGUGGAUCUUGAGUCCGGGAGAGGUGAGUGGAACUGCGAGUGUAGAGGUGAAAUUCGUAGAUAUUCGCAAGAACACCAGUGGCGAAGGCGGCUCACUGGCCCGGAACUGACGCUGAGGCGCGAAAGCGUGGGGAGCAAACAGGAUUAGAUACCCCUGUAGUCCCUGUCUCUUAUACC
rnacentral:rRNA from 1 species